GAUGAACGCUGGCGGCGUGCCUAAUACAUGCAAGUCGAGCGGACUUCUUAAGAGCUUGCUCUUAAGAAGUUAGCGGCGGACGGGUGAGUAACACGUAGGUAACCUGCCUAUAAGACUGGGAUAACUCCGGGAAACCGGGGCUAAUACCGGAUAACAUUUUGCACCGCAUGGUGCGAAAUUGAAAGGCGGCUUCGGCUGUCACUUAUAGAUGGACCUGCGGCGCAUUAGCUAGUUGGUGAGGUAACGGCUCACCAAGGCGACGAGGCGUAGCCGACCUGAGCGGGUGAUCGGCCACACGGGGACUGAGACACGGCCCAGACUCCUACGGGAGGCAGCAGUAGGGAAUAUUGCGCAAUGGGCGAAAGCCUGACGCAGCGACGCCGCGUGGAGGAUGAAGGUCUUAGGAUUGUAAACUCCUGUCAGGUGGGAAGAAAAGCUUAUUUCUAAUAAAUAUAGGUAAUGACUGUACCAUCAGAGGAAGCACUGGCUAACCUCGUGCCAGCCGCCGCCGUAAUAC
rnacentral:rRNA from 1 species